rnacentral:sRNA from 1 species
CCAAGCAAAUCUAUAAGGGUUCUAACCUAAUCUUAACCACUUAACUAACCUAGAGAUUACCCUAAUCUAAUCCAUCAUCAAGAACCCUAAUCAUUACUCAAGCAACAUUCUCAAGAACACAAACCCAGAAAUUACUGAAAUCAUACAAAAAUGCAGAUCUAAACAAGCUAAACAACUUUACUUAAACAACUAAAUGCAAAAACGAAAUAAAUUAAGAGUAAUUAAGUUUUGAAGAUUCAUAAACACAAAGAAAAACUAAAGGAUAAAAGCUUGAUCCUUUGGACAAACUCGAAAGUGAUCUAUUUAUAGUAAAAUGUCGAAACCCUAGAUUCACUAGAAGACAAGAGACUUGAGGCGGUUUGGGCGAAUGCUCGAUCUUGAGGAUCGAGUAAGGAGGGUGCUGCAAAGUCUGCGCCUUUGUGUCUAUGCUCCGAGUGAUCAAUUGGUCGAGUAGAUGCUUCUUCCUCUCCUAUCCGUAUGCUCAGAUGUCUGGUUGAGUGGGGAAUGAGGAGGAUCCGAAGACGCUUUGAUAGCUCAACAAGUCUUGUAGAGUUGGUCACCCUUGGUCGAGUAAAUGGGUCGAGUAGAGGAUCGAGUAGGAGGGGCGAGUAGAUCAAUCUGCUGCUUCAUCUAAGGCUGCCUUGAUCGAGUAAAGGGGUCGACUGAAUUGAUGCCUCUUCUGUAGCUGCCUGGAUCGAGUGAAUGGAUCGAGUAGAGUCCUUUUUAGCUCCUUCUACACCUGAAAACACACCAAAAUAUGCGAUGCGUAUGCAAGAUGAUCCUAGAUGCCUAAGUAUGCAAAAUAAGCUUAAAUGGUGCAAAAUGAUAUGAUACAAUGAGUAAAUGCA